GGAGAAAACUUAGCUGGGUCUCAUCAGAGUACAUCAAAAACAACACUCCUUCUGAUGUAAUCACUGCAAUGGCAGACUGAGGGCAAAUGAAAUUAAACCAGUUGGGUGAAUUAGCUCAGCAAGGAAUGGUUCACAGGAGAGUCUUUAUCUACUCUUUCCACAGACUGUGUGUGCAUAAUUGCAGGUUGCUCUGCCAGCUGUGUUUCCUAGUCUGAGAGAGUUUCCUGGGGUAGAAGAGGGUUACUGAAUGAGUGAAUAGUCACCAGUCUUGAAAAGAGCAGAUGGAGACACUGACUCGACGUGGAAAUCCAAACACCUCUCUGUGAAGUGUUUUCAGAGUUCAUCCCCUGCUGAAAGUCUCCUCAAGUUCUUUGCUGUUGCCCAGCCAACACCUGAGGGAUCACGAACAAACCUUGGAGUAAGUAAU